UGACCCCACGGCGCUAGCUAUCCUCGUGGCCUUCCAGGCCUGGCCGCUGUACGCCCGCCCACCAACCGCUUCCAACCACCCCAACAGCACAACCUCUUUGGGCGUUCCAACGCGGCGCCCCCUA
ensembl:misc_RNA